AGUGAACGCUGGCGGUAUGCCUAACACAUGCAAGUCGAACGGCAGCACAGUAAGAGCUUGCUCUUACGGGUGGCGAGUGGCGGACGGGUGAGGAAUACAUCGGAAUCUACUUUUUCGUGGGGGAUAACGUAGGGAAACUUACGCUAAUACCUCAUACGACCUACGGGUGAAAGCAGGGGAUCUUCGGACCUUGCCCGAUUGAAUGAGCCGAUGUCGGAUUAGCUAGUUGGCUGGGUAAAGGCCCACCAAGGCAACGAUCCGUAGCUGGUCUGAGAGGAUGAUCAGCCACGCUGGAACUGAGACACGGUCCAGACUCCUACGGGAGGCAGCAGUGGGGAAUAUUAGACAAUGGGCGAAAGCCUGACCCAGCCAUACCGCGUGGGUGAAGAAGGCCUUCGGGUUGUAAAGCCCUUUUGUUGGGAAAGAAAAGCAGCAGGUUAAUACCCCGCUGUUCUGACGGUACCCAAAGAAUAAGCAACGGCUAACUUCGUG
rnacentral:rRNA from 1 species